rnacentral:rRNA from 1 species
AAUGGGCGAAAGCCUGAUCCAGCAAUACCGCGUGAGUGAAGAAGGCCUUAGGGUUGUAAAGCUCUUUCAGUAGGGAAAAUGAUGAUGGUACCUACAGAAGAAGUUCCGGCUAACUCCGUGCCAGCAGCCGCGGUAAUACGGAGGGAACUAGCGUUGUUCGGAUUUACUGGGCGUAAAGAGCGCGUAGGCGGGUUACUAAGUUAGAAGUGAAAGCCCAGGGCUUAACCCUGGAAAUGCUUCUAAAACUGGUAACCUAGAGUAUGGGAGGGGACAGUGGAAUUCCUAGUGUAGAGGUGAAAUUCUUAGAUAUUAGGAGGAACACCGGUGGCGAAAGCGACUGUCUGGAACAUUACUGACGCUGAGGUGCGAAAGCGUGGGGAGCAAA